rnacentral:lncRNA from 1 species
CUUCUCACUCUCUCCUCUUCCUCCUCUCUCUUUUCUUCUCACUCUCUCCUUCUCACUAUCUCCUCUUCCUCUUCUCACUUUCUCCUCUUCUUCCUCUCUCCUCUUCUUCUUCACACUCUCCUCUUCUUCUCUCUCUCCUCUUCUUCAUCUCGCUCUCUCCUCUUCCUCCUUUCUCCUCUUCUCACUCUCUCAUCUUCUUCUUCUCACUCUCUCCUCUUCUUCUCACGCUCUCUUCCUUUCACUCUCUCCUCUUCUUCUCAGUCUCUUCUCCUUGCUCUCCCCUCUUCUUCUCGCUCUCUCCUCUUCCUCCUCUCUCUUCUUCUCACUUUCUCUUCUUCCACCUCUUCUUCUUCUCACUCACUCCUCUUCUUCUCUCUCCUCUCCUUCUCACUCUCCUUUUCUUCUCACUCCUCUUCCUCCUCUCUCCUCUUCUUCUUCUCACUCUGUCCUCUUCCUCCUCUCUCCUCUUUUUCGUCUUCUCACUCUCUCCUCUUCUUCUCACUCUCUCCUCUUCUUCACACUCUCUCCUCUUCCUCCUUUCUCAUCUUCUUCUUCUCACUCUCUCCUCUUCUUCUCACACUCUCUUCUUCCUUUCACUCUCUCCUCUUCUUCUCAGUCUUGUCUCUUCUCCUUGCUCUCUCCUCUUCUUCUCACUCCUCUUCCUCCUCUCUCCUCUUCUUCUUCUCCCUUUCUCCUCUUCUUCUUCUUCUUACUUUCUCCUCUUCCUCUUCUUCUUCUCACUUUCUCCUCUUCCUCUUCUUCUUCUCACUUUCUCCUCUUCCUCUUCUUCCUCUCACUCUCUCCUCUUCUUCUCUUUACUCUUCUUCUCUCCUUCUCACUCUCCUUUUCUUCUCACUCCUCUUCCUCCUCUCUCCUCUUCUUCUUCUCACUCUCUCCUCUUCUCAGUCUCUUCGUCUCUCUCUCUCCUUUUCUUCUCACUCCUCUUCCUCCUCUCUCUUCUUCUCAUUCUCUCCUCUUCCUUCUCUCUCUUCUUCUCACUCUCUCCUCUCCUUCUCACACUCUCCUCCUCUUCUCACUCUCUCCUUCACACACUCUCUUCAUCUCUCGCUCCUUCUCACUCUCUCCUCUUCCUCUUCUCUCUUCUUCUCACUUUCUCCUCUUCCUCAUCUCACCUCUUCUUCCUUCUCUGUCCUCCUCUUGUUCUCAUUUUCUCCACUUCCUCCUCUCUCCUCUUUUUUUUUCACUCUCUCCUCUUCUUCUCACUCUCUCCUUUUCCUCCUCUCUCUUCUUUUUUUUAGUCUCUCAUCUUCUUCUCACACUCUCUUCAUCAU